rnacentral:rRNA from 1 species
UAGAGUUUGAUUCUGGCUCAGGAUGAACGCUGGCGGUAUGCUUAACACAUGCAAGUCGAACGGAGCUCUUCGGAACUUAGUGGCGGACGGGUGAGUAACGCGUGAGAAUCUGGCAAAAGGUUCGGGACAACAGUUGGAAACGACUGCUAAUACCGGAUGUGCCUGUGGGUGAAAGAUUAAUCGCCUUUUGAUGAGCUCGCGUCUGAUUAGCUAGUAGGUGUGGUAAGAGCGCACCUAGGCGACGAUCAGUAGCUGGUCUGAGAGGAUGACCAGCCACACUGGGACUGAGACACGGCCCAGACUCCUACGGGAGGCAGCAGUGGGGAAUUUUCCGCAAUGGGCGAAAGCCUGACGGAGCAAUACCGCGUGAGGGAGGAAGGCUCUUGGGUUGUAAACCUCUUUUCUCAGGGAAUAAGAAAGUGAAGGUACCUGAGGAAUCAGCAUCGGCUAACUCCGUGCCAGCAGCCGCGGUAAU